CUGGAUUAAAAAAAUAAAGAUUACAAAAUUUUAUUUAUUUUAGAGGGGGUUUUGAGAAAAAAAUUAAAGCCUAAAAUUAAGGGCAAGUUUGUUAUUUUUGUAAAAAAACUAGCACUGAUGAAAUUUUGAUAUUAUUUUUAAAAUAAAAGAGGUUAGUAAUAUUUUUAAAACUAUACGGGAGUUAUAAUUAUAUUUUUUAAAAACUUCAGUAAAAUCACUUUUUUUAAUUGAUAAAAAGCCCACCAUGGCCUUCGUGAAGGACCAAAAUUUGGUGGAUGACAUCUCAUAAAAGACUAGUCAUUAUCGGCCUAUUGGAGGACCAAGACUUUGGUGGAUGACAAUUAAUAAAAGACAGUAUUGUGGGCCCAAUAGAAAGCAAUAAUUGCUACCAUUUCUCAUAAACAAAGACAAAAGACUCGGUGGAGGGCUAAAAAGAGAGGGUUGUUUCUCACACCCCUCCAAAGACAAAAACCCAGGGCCCACACAAAAUUUAUUAAUUAGUUUUUUUAA
rnacentral:lncRNA from 1 species